rnacentral:lncRNA from 1 species
AAAAAGAUAUAGAGGGUGUAAUUUCCGCUAUAAAAAAUGCAGGAUCCGAGACGAUAUCAACCCAUAAACCACAAGAUCCACAUUAUUCUCUAAACCCGAAUUGACUUUCACAUUUUUAGAUCCGAAUAGAUCCUCAUCUUCUAACGUUCCACCUGAAGUGCCAAUGGCGUUUUUAUAGCCCGGUAAUUAUUCAAAUCUAAGUUUUUCUUUCGAAUUUUGGUUGAAUAUAACUGAGAUAUGCAAUUGGAAUGAUGAAGAAUUAAUUUUUUUGAUUAAGGCCUGAAAAUUGACGGUAAGAAUAAGCAUAUUAAUGUAAGUAUUUCAACGGUGCUGAAGUGAAUUUUAUAAGGAUGUAUAUGAAAUAAUUUAUGUCUACAAAUGUUCUAGUUGUGUGUUUAUUAACAAUAAUAGUUGUUUGACUGUUUGAAGGUUUACAAUCAUAAGUUAUGAAACUGCAAUAUUUUCAAAAGUAUGUUGGUUUAUAAUUUCAGUCUGGAUUUAAAUUGUUUUAAUUACAUGCUGUUCUCAUUCGCAGACCAACAACCUAAUGCUGAAGGCCUCAUUCUUUCCUUGCAAAGUGAGAAUUAUUAUCGUUUGAAGAACUUCUAAUUUCCUUGAUUGCAAUUUGUGAAUUAAGGAUCUGCAUGGUUCUGAAUCUUCUAAUUGCUGUAUUAUUACACAUAGAUUUCCAACACGAAUUUCAAUGAAAUAUAUGGAUAGGAUAAAGAUGAACACCAAAUGACAUAAGUGAUAAUACAUAACUAUUAGAGAUUGAAUUUUGAUCUUGAUGUCACAAGGAUGAAAAGAAGUUCAUUACCAUUUUUGUGAUGAUAUAUGUUUUCUUAUGAAAUAACACUAGCUUCUUAGGACAUUUUUAUAAUUUA